rnacentral:piRNA from 1 species
UCACCUCUACCAGAGAUAAUAAGGUCAGUA